AAAAUGGUGUCUUUAGACACCAUCGAUAUUCUUGGAGUAGUAUUC
rfam:Picea glauca, whole genome shotgun sequence.